UGUCUGGGAAACUGCCUGAUGGAGGGGGAUAACUACUGGAAACGGUAGCUAAUACCGCAUAACGUCGCAAGACCAAAGAGGGGGACCUUCGGGCCUCUUGCCAUCGGAUGUGCCCAGAUGGGAUUAGCUAGUAGGUGGGGUAACGGCUCACCUAGGCGACGAUCCCUAGCUGGUCUGAGAGGAUGACCAGCCACACUGGAACUGAGACACGGUCCAGACUCCUACGGGAGGCAGCAGUGGGGAAUAUUGCACAAUGGGCGCAAGCCUGAUGCAGCCAUGCCGCGUGUAUGAAGAAGGCCUUCGGGUUGUAAAGUACUUUCAGCGGGGAGGAAGGGAGUAAAGUUAAUACCUUUACUCAUUGACGUUACCCGCAGAAGAAGCACCGGCUAACUCCGUGCCAGCAGCCGCGGUAAUACGGAGGGUGCAAGCGUUAAUCGGAAUUACUGGGCGUAAAGCGCACGCAG
rnacentral:rRNA from 1 species